UCAUUUGAGUUUUAGCCUUGCGGCCGUACUCCCCAGGCGGUCAACUUAUCGCGUUAGCUUCGAUACGCAAGAGUUAGACUCUCACACACCUAGUUGACAUCGUUUAGGGCGUGGACUACCAGGGUAUCUAAUCCUGUUUGCUACCCACGCUUUCGCACCUCAGCGUCAGUAAUGGCCCAGUGAGUCGCCUUCGCCACUGAUGUUCCUUCAGAUCUCUACGCAUUUCACCGCUACACCUGAAAUUCCACUCACCUCUACCAUACUCUAGAUAUCCAGUUUCAAAUGCAGUUCCUAGGUUGAGCCCAGGGAUUUCACAUCUGACUUAAACAUCCGCCUACGCGCGCUUUACGCCCAGUAAUUCCGAUUAACGCUUGGACCCUCCGUAUUACCGCGGCUGCUGGCACGGAGUUAGCCGGUCCUUCUUCUGAUGUUAACGUCACGGCAAUCUACUAUUAAUAGACUGCUUUUCCUCACAUCUGAAAGUGCUUUACAACCCUAAGGCCUUCUUCACACACGCGGCAUUGCUGCAUCAGACUUUCGUCCAUUGUGCAAUAUUCCCCACUGCUGCCUCCCGUAGGAGUCUGGGCCGUGUCUCAGUCCCAGUGUGGCUGAUCAUUCUCUCAAACCAGCUACGGAUCGUCGCCUUGGUAAGCCAUUACCUUACCAACUAGCUAAUCCGAUAUAGGUUCAUCUAAUAGCAUGAGGUCCGAAGAUCCCCCACUUUCCUCCGUAGAGCGUAUGCGGUAUUAGCGUGCGUUUCCACACGUUGUCCCCCA
rnacentral:rRNA from 1 species